rnacentral:lncRNA from 1 species
GUGAAAGGAGGCCUUUGCAAAAUAGAAAAAGUACUUUCAUUCCAGAGAGAGCCCUAGGAAUAAAAAAAAAGAGGAAUCUGCAAAGAAAAGCAGUAGGGGAGAGAGCUAAUACCACUAGUUUCAUUCUCAUAAGGGAAAGAGAGACAUUUUAGAAAAGAUCUAUUGUGUGAACUUGAAAACAAGAUGUAGGGUCAGAAAUGCUGUGGUGGCAGGUCCGUGGAGGAAGUAGCCAUCAAAUAAUAGCCUUGAUUGCAAGCCAGUGUUAAUUAGGCUUGUGGGGCCCUCAAUGAGCAAAGAAGAUUGAGCUCUAACCAUCAGUUCCCCACAUGAAGGUUUAUUGUAAUAUGAAAAAGUUAUUUAAAUUUCACUUCACGUUGUCCUUUUGAAUCCUCGCAUUAAUAAAAUCGUUUUCAGUGGAAAUAGCAGCAGCAAGAAAUAGAAAAUACUAACAGCAAGAUUUUUUUUUUUAAUGCCCAUAAGAAGCAGCUUGGAAAUUGACACUCGGUUGCCAGGCACGUUUUACAGCUUUGCUCUUUACCAUGGACCAGAGAUAAUUUUCCUUAUGGAGAAUUUACAAGUUUCCAGAUGCAUUAUGCUGAAGAUAGCCAGGAUCCAGUACAAGGUUGGUGUCCCACUACAAAGCAAGGGCCUGCCACAACCAGAUGCAUGUUUCAACGACAUCGAAAGACUCACCUUGGACUCAUUGCUGACUUGUCAACCAGAACUCCAAUAUCUGAGUUUGUCAAGCAUUAGCAAAUGUCAUUUGGAGAAAAGAAAGGCAUGGGAUUUUAAAAAUAAUUGGAAAUCAGAAGAAUAAAACAAGGAAACAGAAAUAAGGAAGAGGAAGAAGAGGAGAAAGAGAAGAAGAGGAAAAAAAGAUACGAAUUAAAGGUUUGUGAAAACAAAUGCCUAGGAAAGUUAAUUCUAGACAACCAAGCAGGUACAUCUCAAUGAGAGGGAGAGACUUGAAGAGGCAGCAAAGGUUAAAUGGACUAGAAGAAUUUCCUGGCACAAGUUUUGGGUUAUGAGAUGCUCUAUCUCUGGAUAUCAAUUUGGAUCCUUACAAUAUUAUUUUCAGAGCUACUUCACCAUGUUUUCACCUGUGGUUUUCAUGAAAUUUUGUGCUGACAUAUGGACUUAGUGAUCCAGAAAGUUGCCUGUGCCAUGGGAACUCUCAAAGGUCAUGUACAAGCACCAAGCAAACUGCGGGUGGGAUUGGGUAGAGGUGCUAAUGAACUGAGCUGACUUUCUGUGUUUUUUAGUAUAAUAAUGGUGGCUGUUCACCCCAGCAGAAAGUAACAGGAACUCUUAGCAUGCUGAAUUUAAUUCUAGAAUCUCAGGUGGUAAAAAGAAGAGGUCACAUAAUUAACUCUCAGUUAAUGGAAGAAGAACAGUGUCAUGAAUCAAAGAUUAUUUAAAAAUUGCUUAUAAAAAUGGGACUUUGGAAUGCACUCUUUGACUUCUUUGGCAGAGGAUUUACAUCUUAUUUGCUUUGCUUAAGCUAAUAGUAAAAUUAGUUUGUAGUCCUUCUCCAUUUGGAAGAUAUUUGGCAGCAGUUGGAUGAAAGGAGAGUAGGAGAAAAGGAAAGACAAGUAUAUGGGGAGAGAGAAGGAGUGGAGAAACAUGUUGGCUGGCUGGAAAGUCAGGCCAGGGUAAAAGCUUGCCACGUGUAACCUGUAUGGUGUAAACUCAUACAUGCACAAUGAAAAAUUAUAUAAUUAAAGGCACCAAGCCUGAUGGAAUCAGCAUUCAAUAAAUAUUUGUUGAAUGAAUAAAAAGAUUUUUUCUUUGCAUUUGAAGGAAGGAUUUCUUAUCUUAUUGGAAAUCUGCAAAUGGUUUCUUCAGCAUUUUUAUUGGAUGCUGUCUUGGGAAGAAGGCACAGAGAUCCUCUUCCCAUGCUUUUUAUCUCCCUCUCAUUACUCUUCAGAUUGACCCUGAAAU